UUACUUACCUGGCAGGGGAGAUACCAUGAGCCAGAAGGUGGUUUUCCCAGGGCAAGGCUCAUCCACUUCAUUGAGGAUGUGCUGACCCCUGCGAUUUCCCCAAAUGUGGGAAACUUGACUGCAUAAUUUGUGGUAGUGGGGGACUGUGUUCUCACUCUUCCCCU
ensembl:snRNA U1 U1 spliceosomal RNA